UUAUGAGGUAGAGGUCGCAAUCAUUAAGACUAGUAUAGCUGAGAUUAGGAAGAAUCGGUGAAGCUUUAUGAAAGGAAUGGUUGCCGAAGUGUUAUUUUUCUUCUUGAAAAUAAUGCUGGGGCUGUUUCCGAUAAGGAACAGAACUGUCACAUGUGUGAGCAUGUGUUGAGCUAUCUUUCAA
rfam:Solibacillus silvestris StLB046 DNA, complete genome.